CCUAGCCUUAUCCUCAACUCUUACUUAACUUACACAUGCAAGUAUCAGCACACCCGUGAAAACGCCCACACCCCUCUCUCAGAACAAGGAGCCGGUAUCAGGCACAGAUAUUCUCGCCCACAACACCUAGCCACGCCACACCCCCAAGGGUACUCAGCAGUGAUAAAUAUUGCCCAUUAGCGCCAGCUUGAUUCAGUUAAAGUAAAUAGAGCCGGCCAAUUCGGUGCCAGCCGCCGCGGCUACCCCGCUUGGCUCAAGUUGACACUGCCGGCGUUAAGCGUGAUUAAAGUAGCCCCAACACUAGAAUUAAACUCUAACCAAGUUGUGAAACACUUGUUUAUAUGAAACCCCUAAACGAAAGUUAUUCUAACCCGCUUGAACCCACGACAGCUGGAACACAAACUGGGAUCAGGUACCCCACUAUGCCCAGCCGUAAAAUAUUAACUUACAUCUCUAACCGCCAGGGAAUUACGAGCCCAAUCUCAAAACCCAAAGGACUUGACGGUGUCCCACCCACCUAGAGGAGCCUGUUCUAUAAUCGACACUCCCCGAUAUACCUUACCCCUUCUAGCAUACCCAGUCUGUAUACCUCCGUCGCAAGCUUACCAUGUGAACGCAAGUGAGCCAAAAGAUUCUAUAUCAACACGUCAGGUCAAGGUGCAACUAACGAAGCGGAAAGCAAUGGGCUACAAUCUCUGCCCACAGAGCACACGAAAAACUGCAUGCAACACAGUAAUGAAGGUGGAUUUAGCAGUAAAAAGAAAACAGAGAGUUCUUUUUAAUCGGGCGCUGGGACGCGUACACACCGCCCGUCACCCUCCUCGAGCAUUCACCCCAGAAGAGGCAAGUCGUAACAUGGUAAGUGUACUGGAAAGUGCACUUGGACAACAAAAUGUAGCUUAACCAAAGCAUCCCGCUUACACCGAGAUAGAUGUCUACGAACAGACCAUUUUGAGCUCAAAUACUAGCCCACUAAUUCAUUUAACUUACCCCCCCCCCCAAAAAAACAUUUUCACCAUUAAGUAACGGCGAUUAAAAAAUGACUAAGAGCUAUAAAAGUAGUACCGCAAGGGAAAUGUGAAAUAAAAUGAAAAUCUAAGCACAAUACAGCAAAGCUUCAACCUUGUACCUUUUGCAUCAUGGUCUAGCUAGUUUACCCAAGCAAAAUGCAUUUAAAGUUUGACCCCCCGAAACUAAGCGAGCUACUUUAAAACAGCCUCUAAGGGCCAACCCGUCUCUGUGACAAAAGAGUGGGAAGAUUUUAAAGUAGAGGUGACACACCUAUCGAGCUUAGAGAUAGCUGGUUAUUCAGGAAAAGGAUUUAAGUCCACCUUUAAGUUUUUUAACUAACACUAAAUGCCAAGUAAACUUAAAAGCCAUUCAAAUAAGGUACAGCCUAUUUGAACAAGGAAACAACCUCCAAUACAGGGUAACGAUCUACUACAUGUGACCAAGUAGGCCUAAAAGCAGCCAACUUCAUAAUAGCGUCCAAGCUUUAUCACUAACCAUUAUUAAUCCCACCAUCUAUACACAACCCAUAACCACUACUGAAUAAUCCCAUACCAUUAUGGGAGAUAUUAUGCUAGAACUAGUAACAAGAAUAAGUGCUUCUCCAAAAUAUAAGCGUAAGCCAAAAUGAACAACUCACUGGCAUUCACCGCCAUCAGACUUACAGUAUUAACUCAACAAGAAAACCUUACUACACCUGACGUCAACCUUACACUAGAACAUUACUGGAAAGAUUAAAAAAGAGGGAAGGAACUCGGCAAAUAUUAGCCCCGCCUGUUUACCAAAAACAUCGCCUCUUGAUUACCAUAAGAGGUCCAGCCUGCCCGGUGACUAAAAGUUAAACGGCCGCGGUACCCUAACCGUGCAAAGGUAGCACAAUCACUUGUUCUUUAAAUUAGGACUAGUAUGAAUGGCCUCACGAGAGCAAUACUGUCUCCCCACUUCAAUCAGUGAAACUGAUCUCCUCGUGAAGAAGCGAGGAUAUACCUAUAAGACGAGAAGACCCCAUGGAGCUUAAAACUUGUACCACCGCCUACAACUACACCAACAAACCAAGGCAAACUGGCAACUAGUCUUUCGGUUGGGGCGACCACGGAGAAAAAUCAAACCUCCACGAUGAAAGGAAUACCCUAAUUUAAGAGCUACCGCUCUAAAAAUCAAUAAAUUGACAUAAUUGACCCAAACAUUUUGAUCAACGAACCAAGUUACCCUGGGGAUAACAGCGCAAUCCAUUUCAAGAGACCCCAUCGACAAAUGGGCUUACGACCUCGAUGUUGGAUCAGGGUAUCCUAGUGG
rnacentral:ncRNA from 1 species